UACGGAGGGUGCAAGCGUUAAUCGGAAUUACUGGGCGUAAAGCGUGCGUAGGUGGUUCGUUAAGUCCGUUGUGAAAGCCCCGAGCUCAACUUGGGAAUUGCAGUGGAUACUGGCGAGCUGGAGUGCGGUAGAGGAAGGUGGAAUUCCCGGUGUAGCGGUGAAAUGCGUAGAGAUCGGGAGGAACACCUGUGGCGAAGGCGGCCCCCUGGCCGGCCCUGACACUGAGACGCGAAGGCGUGGGGAGCGAACGGG
rnacentral:rRNA from 1 species